rnacentral:rRNA from 1 species
UAGGGUCGGCCCUCUGCCAGCUAGUGGGAGGCUAUGAGGUUACUUUUGGGUUUACUGGAGCCAUCAGUGAGAGACCACUCUGGAAGAGCUAGAAUUCUAAUGGUGUUCUUUGAAUCAAGACACUUGACAGUUUCAGGUGGGCAGUUUGUUUGGGGCGAACACCUCCAAAAAGGUAACUGAGGUGUGCAAAGGUUCUCUCAGGCUGGACGGAAAUCAGAUGUUGAGUGUAAAUGCAAAAGGGAGCUUGACUGCAAGACCUACAAGUCGAGCAGGUGCGAAAGCCGGCCUUAGUGAUCCGACGGUUCCGCGUGGAAGGGCCGUCGCUCAACGGAUAAAAGUUACUCUAGGGAAACCAGGCUGA